rnacentral:lncRNA from 1 species
UGCUGGAGGGGAAGAUUCUGAAAAUUCAACAUCUGAAGUCACAUCUGUGUCUGAGUCCUCUACUCCAUUUCACUGGAUGCAGACCAGUCCCACACAGAGCCCUGCGGAACAGAACCACACUGAUCAGACAAACCGUGAUACGCAUAUAGAGUUGACAACUUCACAUCCAAAUCCAGACACCACAGGGCUGGGAGUGUUUGAAUCAGUGACCACUAAAGAAACAGCAGCAAAUAAAGCAGUUGUUACUCCAGAACACGCCACCCCAAACAACGGGUCUAUAGACUGGCUGAUCAUUUUACUCGUCAUUUUGGCCGUUUUUGUCAUUCUGCUUGUCUGUGUUAUUGUAGCAAACAGAAAAAGAUGGUGCGGCAAGAAACAGACUCUGAUUAUUACACAAGAGAGCAGCAGUGAAGAAAAGGGCGCAGCAGCUUCAUUGACUAAGGAGCAGGAGAUGGUCAAACUAGUGAACACUGAGAAGAUCGCAGGGAACAGCAACUCAGAGUUUAUCAGCAUCAGUCCAGAGAAGUGAACAGAGAAAACCCAGAAGGCAUAAGAAUGACAACACAAGCAGUUUUACACUAACAACUUACAAUACAGAUGCACUAAUAUGCCUUAAUCAAUGCUGAAC